CCUACGGUGUGCUGCAGUGAGGAAUAUUGGUCAAUGGACGCAAGUCUGAACCAGCCAUGCCGCGUGCAGGACGACGGCUCUAUGAGUUGUACACUGCUUUUGUACGAGGGUAAACGCAGAUACGCGUAUAUGUCUGAAAGUAUCGUACGAAUAAGGAUAGGCUAACUCCGUGCCAGCAGCCGAGGUAAUACGGAGGAUUCAAGCGUUAUCCGGAUUUAUUGGGUUUAAAGGGUGCGUAGGGGGUCGGAUAAGUUAGAGGUGAAAUCCCGAGGCUCAACUUCGGAAUUGCCUGUGAUACUUUUCGGCUAGAGAGUAGUAGCGGUAGGCGGAAUGUAUGGUGUAGCGGUGAAAUGCUUAGAGAUCAUACAGAACACCGAUUGCGAAGGCAGCUUACCAAGCUACUUCUGACGUUGAGGCACGAAAGCGUGGGGAGCAAACAGGAUUAGAUACCCGAGUAGUC
rnacentral:rRNA from 1 species